ACAACAGGCCACGAAGAGCUAGAGGCUAAGAAAGAAGGAUAUCAUAGCAACUCUCAGCUACAAGCAGUACAUUCUAAAAGAAAGAGAGUCCAAUGCAACGCAGCUGAUCAAGAAGACCUCCUGAGUCAGCAAAGAUAUCCAUUCAAGGAAGAACCCCAUUAUCAAGAAGCACCACCAUCACCAUGGUCCGCUCAUUCCUUUCGACAAGAAGAGAUGGCUAAAGAAGGGCAGAAAAUGUUCGUAAAGAGCACGGACAAUGCACAUGAUCAAGUGAUUCAAAGCCGUGUGCGUUCAAAGAAGACGCGCCCUUCACCAAUGGAGGUGGUGUUGAGCUAGGCAACCAAUUUUGGAAAGUAUGAAUCAACCAUCCUAUUCGUAAAAAUGAGGAGCUUGUAAGACCAUUGGAUCAUUGCAAGACAAUUAAUGAUGUCCAUGCCAAAGGAGUGGUGAUUGCGUGGCCUUCAAUAUGUGUUCGGAAGAUUAAUGGUUGAUUUCGCUUUCAUCUCACCCCAUGGAUUGAUAAACCGGCAAAGACUUUCCAGAAGAAGAAGAAGAAGACGAAUAGAUUAUCAUUUUGUCAUAUUUUAGUAUGAAAGACUGUAAUUCUAAAGACUUGCUUUUCUCAAAUGGAUUAUCAUUUAUGUUUUGUAAUGAUGGGAAGGAUGUUUUAACUAUUUUGUUAUGCAAUGCAAUCUUUAUUUUC
rnacentral:lncRNA from 1 species